UAGACGGAAGCCUGUUAGGUUUGGGCGUCUAGCUGUUAACUAGAAUUUUUGUGGGAUCAAGGCCCACCUGUCUAG
rnacentral:tRNA from 1 species